rnacentral:rRNA from 1 species
CGGGUAGUCCCAGCUGUAAACUAUGCUCGCUAGGUGUCAGUGACGGUGCGACCGUUUCUGGUGCCGCAGGGAAGCCGUGAAGCGAGCCACCUGGGAAGUACGGUCGCAAGGCUGAAACUUAAAGGAAUUGGCGGGGGAGCACUACAACGGGUGGAGCCUGCGGUUUAAUUGGACUCAACGCCGGAAAACUCACCGGGGGCGACAGCAAUAUGUAGGUCAAGCUAAAGACUUUACCAGAAUCGCUGAGAGGAGGUGCAUGGCCGUCGUCAGUUCGUACUGUGAAGCAUCCUGUUAAGUCAGGCAACGAGCGAGACCCGUGCCCACUGUUGCCAGCAUGUCCUUCGGGAUGAUGGGUACUCUGUGGGGACCGCCGAUGCUAAAUCGGAGGAAGGUGCGGGCUACGGUAGGUCAGUAUGCCCCGAAUCUCCCGGGCUACACGCGGGCUACAAUGACUGGGACAAUGGGCUCCUACCCCGAAAGGGGAUGGUAAUCUCAUAAACCCAGCCGUAGUUCGGAUCGAGGGCUGCAACCCGCCCUCGCGAAGCUGGAAUCCGUAGUAAUCGCGUUUCAACAGAACGCGGUGAAUACGUCCCUGCUCCUUGCACACACCGCCCGUCAAACCACCCGAGUAGGGUCUGAAUGAGAGCGCUUACCAAUCGGAGGCGUUCGAAUUUGGGCUUUGCAAGGGGGGUUAAGUCGAAACAAGGUAACCAAGGGCGAAUUCCAGC